rnacentral:tRNA from 1 species
GGGGCAUUAGCGCAGUUGGUAGCGCGCGACAUUCGCAUUGUCGAGGCCAGGGGUUCGACUCCCCUAUGCUCCACCA